rnacentral:rRNA from 1 species
CCCGCUGAACUUAAGCAUAUCAAUAAGCGGAGGAAAAGAAACCAACAGGGAUUGCCUUAGUAACGGCGAGUGAAGCGGCAAAAGCUCAAAUUUGAAAUCUGGCAGUAAUGUCCGAGUUGUAAUUUGAAGAAGGUAACUUUGGUGAUAGCUCUUGCAUAUGUUCCUUGGAACAGGACGUCAUAGAGGGUGAGAAUCCCGUAUAUGGUGAGAUGACAUAUUACUAUGUAAAGUGCCUUCGAAGAGUCGAGUUGUUUGGGAAUGCAGCUCUAAGUGGGUGGUAAAUUCCAUCUAAAGCUAAAUAUUGGCGAGAGACCGAUAGCGAACAAGUACAGUGAUGGAAAGAUGAAAAGAACUUUGAAAAGAGAGUGAAAAAGUACGUGAAAUUGUUGAAAGGGAAGGGCUUGAAAUCAGACUUGGUAUUCAAUGAUCAAUUUUCUUUCGGGGAGAUGCACUCGUUGUUUACUGGGCCAACAUCGAUUUAGACGGUGAGAUAAUGACAGUUGAAUGUGGCUUGCUUCGGUAAGUGUUAUAGCUUCUUGCUGUAUACAUUGGUUGGGACUGAGGAAUUCAGCACGCCGCAAGGCCGGGUUUUUAACCACGUUCGUGCUUAGGAUGCUGGCAUAAUGGCUUUAAUCGACCCGUCUUGAAACACGG